rnacentral:rRNA from 8 species
CUUGGUGACUCAUCGUAGCGGACACACCUCUUCCCAUUCCGAACAGAGAAGUUAAGCGUUACAGAGCCGAUGAUAGUCUUCAUGGCGAAAGUAGGUAGUCGCCAAGA